rnacentral:other from 1 species
AGCGCUCGACCUUGUGCGUGAUUUGCCUCAAUCUUGAGCCAACACAUUUCUCUUGGGAGGUCGGCUCGAUCGGGCGGCUGCACAGCUCUCCGAUGGCCGCCACCCACCUGCUUACGCAGGUUCAAGAGCCUGGCGGACACGGCAAGGUGGAGCAUUU